GACCAGGUGGUGAAGUGGCUAACACGGCGGUCUGCAAAACCGCUACUCGUGGGUUCAAAUCCCACCCUGGUCU
rnacentral:tRNA from 7 species